AGAGUUGAUUAUGGCUCAGAACGAACGCUGGUAGCGUGGAUUAGGCAUGCAAGUCGAACGGGAUCAGCCGGAUAGCAAUAUUCGGCUGUGAGAGUGGCGGAUUGGGGAGGAACACGUGAGCAACCUGCCCUUGGGACGGGGAAAACCUCUGGAAACGGAGGCUAAUACCGGAUGCGGCGCCCCGCGACAUCGCGGGAGCGCCAAAGGGGGCCCUAAAGGCUCCCGCCCGAGGAGGGGCUCGCGCACCAUCAGCUAGUUGGCGGGGUAACGGCCCACCAAGGCUCACGGUUAGCUGGUCUGAGAGGAUGACCAGCCCCACUGGGACUGAGAUACUGCCCAGACUCCUACGGGAGGCUGCAGUCGAGGAUCAUUCGCAAUGGGCGAAAGCCUGACGAUGCCGACGCUGCGUGGAGGAUGAAGGCCUUCGGGUUGUAAAGCUCUGUUGCCGGGGAAGAGUGGUCUAAGGGGACUUAGACAGGGACGGUACCCGGCGAGGAAGCCGCGGCUAACUACGUGCCAGCCGCCGC
rnacentral:rRNA from 1 species